UUAUAAUAAAUAAGAUAUAAAAUUAGUUUCGACCUAAAAAAAAGAUUUUUAUAAAUCCUUAUUUU
rnacentral:tRNA from 1 species